rnacentral:rRNA from 1 species
UGGUUUAAUUCGAGGCAACGCGAAGAACCUUACCAGGCCUUGACAUGCAGAGAACUUUCCAGAGAUGGAUUGGUGCCUUCGGGAACUCUGACACAGGUGCUGCAUGGCUGUCGUCAGCUCGUGUCGCGAGAUGUUGGGUUAAGUCCGUAACGAGCGCAACCCUUGUCCUUAGUUACCAGCACGUUAUGGUGGGCACUCUAAGGAGACUGCCGGUGACAAACCGGAGGAAGGUGGGGAUGACGUCAAGUCAUCAUGGCCCUUACGGCCUGGGCUACACACGUGCUACAAUGGUCGGUACAAAGGGUUGCCAAGCCGCGAGGUGGAGCUAAUCCCAUAAAACCGAUCGUAGUCCGGAUCGCAGUCUGCAACUCGACUGCGUGAAGUCGGAAUCGCUAGUAAUCGUGAAUCAGAAUGUCACGGUGAAUACGUUCCCGGGCCUU